rnacentral:rRNA from 1 species
UGACCUGCCCAAUGAUUAAUUUUAAUGGCCGCGGUAAUUUGACCGUGCAAAGGUAGCAUAAUCAUUAGUCUAUUAAUUGUGGACUUGUAUGAAUGGUUGGACGAAGUGUUUACUGUCUCAUUUUUAUUAUUAUAAUUUAAAUUUUAAGUUAAAAUGCUUAAAUUCUUUUAUUGGACGAGAAGACCCUAUAGAUCUUUAUUUUUGUUUAUUAUUUAUUUUUUAGAUUAUUUAUUUUAUUUAUUUUUCAAAUAUUUCGUUGGGGUGACGUAAGGAUAAUUUAAUAACUCCUUAUUUUUAUUUACAUUUAUUUUUGAAUAUUUGACCUUGUAUUAUUGUUAUAAGAUUAGAUACCUUAGGGAUAACAGCGUAAUUUUUCUUGAGAGUUCAUAUCGACAGAGAAUAUUGCGACCUCGAUGUUGGAUUAAGAUUAUAAUUAGGUGUAGGUGCUUAAUAUAUAGGUCUGUUCGACCUUUAAAAUCUUACA